GACAGAGGGUGCAAACGUUGUUCGGAAUUACUGGGCGUAAAGCGCGUGUAGGCGGCCUUCUAAGUCAGACGUGAAAUCCCUCGGCUCAACCGGGGAACUGCGUCUGAGACUGGAAGGCUUGAAUCCGGGAGAGGGAUGUGGAAUUCCAGGUGUAGCGGUGAAAUGCGUAGAUAUCUGGAGGAACACCGGUGGCGAAGGCGGCAUCCUGGACCGGUAUUGACGCUGAGGCGCGAAAGCCAGGGGAGCAAACGGG
rnacentral:rRNA from 1 species